AGACAAGAGAGUUUUCCUUCAGAACAGGAAUAUGUUACUGAACAAUUUUUCUUUUUUAAGGACUCCAGAGUCUUACUACCUCCUCCUCCUCUUCCCUCUCCUUGGAGCACCGGUAUAGAGCAAGAGCAUAAAGGAAUUGCUUUUCACAUAGAUGGUUUAUUCUAAAAGCAUGUCUGGCAAUAAGAGGAGAAUCAUUUAGUAACCAUCAUGUUUUGACUGAAAGGGAGAGCUUUAGGUCUCUUAAAAUGCUAACGGUAGAAAUAUAUCUAUAUAUCAAUUUGUUGCUAACAUAAACGUGCCAAAACCAAUACCUGAGCAUAAAAUGCUAUGUACACAGGAAGUUAGGCUAGUCAAGCAAGGCAUUGACUAACAACGUGUACUACUGUCUGUGACAAUUUCAGCACCACCUCCCGCACUAUUCCUGUGCCCACAGCCCAGCACACACAGCUGCAGACACCUUGAUCCAUCCACCCUGCCCUGCUCACUGGUAAACCACCAACAUCGCUCUGGGGCCACACGGAUGGGCCCGUGAGUAGCACAAGGCAGGCAGCACUUUGUACUUUGCCUUCUCAUGAGUUUUAUACAGCUUAACAAGUUCUCCACGGUUCAGCGAGUGCUUAAAAGGUUCAAAGUUUCUGGCUGUUUAUAAGAAUGUCUGUGGUUUAUCACCAAUGCAAUAAAAUUGCUGGAAAAAAAAAAAUAAUCAUAAUCUAUGGAUCCAACCCAACAGCAAUGUCACAGCACAGCUCAGCACCCUUCCCAGCCAAGAUACAACAGUCAUUUUCAGAUGAGUAAACUCCAUGCUGAAGCCAAGAUGAGAGCCCAUUGUGCAGCACCUCUUGGUGACAUGGCACUAUGACAUGGCUAUUUCCCAGCCGUGGGAAUAGCUGUGUGCUGGGACCAGCCUCACCUGGAAGGAUGUCACACCAUCACCAUGGCACAUGCACAGCUCUAAGCAUUCCACACGCCCACAGACAAUGGUUAAACCACUCCUUGGAACUGGCUCACAUGUGCUUACACGAGGGAAGGGAGCAGAGCAAUGUCACUGCUGACGCUGCACCACCAUUGAUGGAAUUGUGCCAUUGCUCGAACAAGCACUGGGAAGUCCCUUUUUUGUGCAUGUAGUGCAUUUGUAGGGUGUGCAUAGAGGA
rnacentral:lncRNA from 1 species